UACGUAGGUGGCAAGCGUUUGUUCGGAAUUACUGGGCGUAAAGGGCGCGUAGGCGGCCCACUAAGUCAGACGUGAAAUCCCCAGGCUUAACUUGGGAACUGCGUCUGAUACUGGGAGGCUUGAGUGCGGGAGAGGGAUGUGGAAUUCCAGGUGUAGCGGUGAAAUGCGUAGAUAUCUGGAGGAACACCGGUGGCGAAGGCGGCUUCCUGGACCGACACUGACGCUGAGGCGCGAAAGCUAGGGGAGCAAACGGG
rnacentral:rRNA from 1 species